rnacentral:misc_RNA from 1 species
CGCACAUUGCGCCCCGUGGUAUUCCGCGGGGCAUGCCUGUUCGAGCGUCAUUUAAACCAAUCCAGCUUGCUGGGUCUUGGGUCUCGCCUCUGGGCGGACCUUAAAAUCAGUGGUGGUGCCACCCGGCUCUAAGCGUAGUAAUUCUUCUCGCUACAGAGUCCCGGGUGGAGGCUUGCCAACGAACCCCCAAUUUUUUAAGGUUGACCUCGGAUCAGGUAGGGAUACCCGCUGAACUUAA